rnacentral:rRNA from 1 species
UACGGGGGAUCCAAGCGUUAUCCGGAAUUACUGGGCGUAAAGAGUUGCGUAGGCGGCUAAGUAAGCAACGAGUGAAAGCGUGGGGCUCAACCCCAUAUACAUUCGUUGAACUGCUUUGGCUAGAGCAUGAGAGAGGUAGCUGGAAUUACUAGUGCAGGAGUGAAAUCCGUAGAUAUUAGUAGGAACACCGAUGGCGUAGGCAGGCUACUGGCUCAUUGCUGACGCUCAGGCACGAAAGCGUGGGG